rnacentral:lncRNA from 1 species
GGAACUGUUUGGGCGGCGCCUUCAGGCGUCUCGGAAGGAAAGAAGAGGACUCUCAAGCCUCGGUAAAUGGCGAGGUAGCUGGGUUUGGGGAGAGGCGUUUAAACGUUCCGUCCACCUCAAGGGAAUCAGUCUUCCAGCUCUCUUGCUUCUGGAGGCCGCCGGUUCCGAGGCGUCGGGAGAAGGGUGCUCUCAGAGCCUGCGGGCUGGUGCUUCCCUCCUGACAGUCCCCGAGGUUGGAUAAGUACAGGUUCGAGGUGGAGGGUAGCUGAAGAAAAAGCUGAGAAUGAGAUCUUCCAGUAGACAGUAUAGAACGAAAAGAGAAGGCAGCCUGCUCUCUUCUUGAAACUCAUCUGUUGAACUCUGGGAGACUACCCCAUCCUAGUUCUGUACCUGCCUCCCUACUUCUGCAUUUCAACUGUUGCUGAUCCACAAGGAUUGGACCUUCCCCCCAACCCCUUGGAGAACUUAUCUGAUGACUCAGGGUACAGGUUGCUCUGGAGCUCCAGCCCUGGGAACCCUUCUCCAGAUUGUAGAGAGAAGGAGGCAGCACAGUGUAGUGGAAAGAUCAUGGCCCAGUGAAUCAGGCAGAUGUGCGCCUCAUCACCUGGGGGAAAAAACUCCAAUCUAAACAUCCUGGUCUUCAACUGUAAGAUGACUGCCGAGCUAUGAAGUUGUUCAGAGAAUUCAAAAGGGUGAAGGCCAGGAACUUCAUCUGGCAAACCUGGAGUUCGAGGCUGUCAGAAGAGAGGCACCACUCCCUUGUGCCUCUCAGGUGAGCCCUACCCAUCGUGCCAGGCUUCUUUUCAUCAGACAUGUUGAAGUAUCUGAUAUGUGUGCAAGGGGCAGCGUCAUUCUAGGUGCUGAGGAGAAGAAAGCACAAUACACGGAACUCUCACAUUUGUGGAGCUUUCAUUCCUGGCAGAGAAGAGGGCCCAAGCCCCCUUCAGUGAGGAAAAGCGGUGGAGUGACACACUGGGUUGAGUCCUCUGGAGACAAAACUCCAAUAGGAGAAGGGCCAUGGGAAGUGUGGUAAGGGAGUUUUGUGGGUAAAUUUACAGCUAGACCCAUCCCUGUGUUUUCUAGUACCCCCAAACCCGCUUUUUGGCAGAUGACCCAAAUAUUUCUUCCUCCUUCUCCCCAGAACCCUCAGUGUAUGACUCUCCACUGUAGUAAUCAUUUAUGAUCUUUUUCCCCUUGGAAAAUGGAAUGCAUAAAGCUGGAGGGAAGCUGAGGUCCCUUUCACCUCCUCACCUGCUUUCCUGGGCUGUCCCAUCCAUCUCUCAGAGAUGUGCAGCCCCAGGCAGUCAGACCGCAUGUGGGGGAUCGGUCUCUGAUCCUGGGGCCUCACUUUGUAAGGAUGGAGUGCCUCUGGAGGGAGCAGGAGGGCUAUGGUACCUUCAAGGGACCAGGAAACUCCCUCACAGAUGCUCAGCGACCCCAGCCUUGUUAGACCUGAGUGGACUUCCUGUGGAUGUGGACUUGCACAUGUCUUGUGUGCCGGACCAACAAAUAGAAAUACAACCAUGUGAAGAGGUACUCGGGAGAGAGACUGGACACCAACAAGAAUAUCUUAGGCCAGAUCUAACAAUGCAGGGGGACCUCUGCCUGGCCUGAGCUCUAAGUAGGUGGAAACCCAGACAGGAUGUACUGUCUCUUGGAAAGGUUGUAGAGAGGACUCAAGUGGUUUGACCUGAAAUUUAUGAUUCUGUGAUUCUAAUGGGAUGCCUGAGGGCAGGUGAUGAGAAUAAAAAAAGCUGGAACC